rnacentral:rRNA from 1 species
AGAGUUUGAUCCUGGCUCAGGAUGAACGCUGGCGGCGUGCCUAACACAUGCAAGUCGAGCGAUCUUCUUCGGAAGAGAGCGGCGGACGGGUGAGUAACGCGUGGGUAACCUGCCUCAUACACAUGGAUAACAUACCGAAAGGUAUGCUAAUACAAGAUGAUAUGAGAGAUUCGCAUGGAUUUCUUAUCAAAGCUCCGGCGGUAUGAGAUGGACCCGCGUCUGAUUAGCUAGUUGGUAAGGUAACGGCUUACCAAGGCGACGAUCAGUAGCCGACCUGAGAGGGUGAUCGGCCACAUUGGAACUGAGACACGGUCCAAACUCCUACGGGAGGCAGCAGUGGGGAAUAUUGCACAAUGGGCGAAAGCCUGAUGCAGCAACGCCGCGUGAGCGAUGAAGGCCUUCGAGUCGUAAAGCUCUGUCCUCAAGGAAGAUAAUGACGGUACUUGAGGAGGAAGCCCCGGCUAACUACGUGCCAGCAGCCGCGGUAAUACGUAGGGGGCUAGCGUUAUCCGGAUUUACUGGGCGUAAAGGGUGCGUAGGUGGUUUCUUAAGUCAGGAGUGAAAGGCUACGGCUCAACCGUAGUAAGCUCUUGAAACUGGGAAACUUGAGUGCAGGAGAGGAAAGUGGAAUUCCUAGUGUAGCGGUGAAAUGCGUAGAUAUUAGGAGGAACACCAGUAGCGAAGGCGGCUUUCUGGACUGUAACUGACACUGAGGCACGAAAGCGUGGGGAGCAAACAGGAUUAGAUACCCUGGUAGUCCACGCCGUAAACGAUGAGUACUAGGUGUCGGGGGUUACCCCCCUCGGUGCCGCAGCUAACGCAUUAAGUACUCCGCCUGGGGAGUACGCUCGCAAGAGUGAAACUCAAAGGAAUUGACGG